GACGUAGGGUGCAAGCGUUGUCCGGAGUUACUGGGCGUAAAGGGCGCGUAGGCGGUUGCCCGCGUCGCACGUGAAAGCCCCCGGCUCAACCGGGGAGGGUCGUGCGAGACGGGGUAACUGGAGGCAGGGAGAGGCUGGUGGAAUUCCCGGAGUAGUGGUGAAAUGCGUAGAUACCGGGAGGAACACCUGAGGCGAAGGCGGCCAGCUGGCCCUGUCCUGACGCUGAGGCGCGAAGGCUCGGGGAGCGAACGGGAUUAGAAACCCCCGUAGUCC
rnacentral:rRNA from 1 species